rnacentral:rRNA from 1 species
CCUACGGGUGGCAGCAGUGAGGAAUAUUGGUCAAUGGGCGGGAGCCUGAACCAGCCAAGUCGCGUGAGGGAAGACGGUCCUAUGGAUUGUCAACUUCUUUAGGCGGGGAGCAAUGCCGGGCACGCGUGCCCGGAGGGAGAGUACCUGCAGAAAAGGCAUCGGCUAACUCCGUGCCAGCGGCCGCGGUAAUACGGAGAUUGCGGGCGUUAUCCGGAUUGAUUGGGUUUAAAGGGUGCGUGGGCGGAUUUUUAAGUCAGGGGUAAAAUGUCAGGGCUAAACCCGGGCGGGCCGUUGAAACUGGGGGUCUUGAGUGGGCGAGAGGUAUGCGGAAUGCGUGGUGUAGCGGUGAAAUGCAUAGAGAUCACGCAGAACUCCGAUUGCGAAGGCAGCAUACCGGCGCCCGACUGACGCUGAGGCACGAAAGCGUGGGGAUCGAACAGGAUUAGAUACCCGAGUAGUC